GUCAGAACCAGAACCGCCUCUCUCUCUAGCCGACGUGGCCUACCUUGGUCUUGCGGUCCAGCUUGGCAUGGAGACCCGACACGUCGCUGGUGCUCUCACCGACGGCGCUCAGCAGCUGCAGGCGGAGAGGCCGGUCAGAGAAAACGACGAUAAACGAGUUUUAAGCAACCCCGAAUCACGGUAGCGACAGGUGAAGGUGCGUACCUGUCCGGCGGCGCUGUACAGCGACUCGUGGACCGAGCUGAGCUCCGAGCAGAUGAACUCCUCCUCCACCAGCUUCUCCUUGGUCUUCUCCAGAUCCCUGCUGGUCUCCUCCAGCCUGGAACCAGAACCAGAACCGUGAGAGCCCGGCUGAUAAAGACGGAUAAACGCUACGCGGAGCGGCUCUACCUCUGCUGCUUCUCAUCCAGGUCCAUGCUGCACUGCUCCAGCCGGCUCUUACUGUCCAGGAACAGAUCGUUCACCUGCAGGGAGCAGAAUAAAACUCUAAGACAUUUUAAAGCCAAGACAGAAAACUAGAAAUAUGAGAAAUGGCUGAACGAGAACGGUUGCAUUUCUGGAUCCGUUUACAGCUUUUCUAAUAAAAACACUAACCUGUUUUAAAUCAUUACAGAAUAAACAAGUCAUGUUCAUUUCC